CGAGGUGUAGCGCAGUUUGGUAGCGCGCUUGGUUCGGGACCAAGAGGUCGUGAGUUCGAGUCUCGUCACCUCGACCA
rnacentral:tRNA from 1 species